rnacentral:rRNA from 1 species
UACGGGGGGGGCAAGCGUUGUUCGGAAUUACUGGGCGUAAAGGGUUCGUAGGGGGCUUGUUAAGUCAGGGGUGAAAUCCUGGAGCUCAACUCCAGAACUGCCUUUGAUACUGGGAAGCUCGAGUCCGGGAGAGGUGAGUGGAACUCCGAGUGUAGAGGUGAAAUUCGUAGAUAUUCGGAAGAACACCAGUGGCGAAGGCGGCUCACUGGCCCGGUACUGACGCUGAGGUGCGAAAGCGUGGGGAGCAAACAGG